rnacentral:rRNA from 1 species
UACGGGGGGGGCAAGCGUUGUUCGGAAUUACUGGGCGUAAAGGGCUCGUAGGCGGCCAACUAAGUCAGACGUGAAAUCCCUCGGCUUAACCGGGGAACUGCAUCUGAUACUGGAUGGCUUGAGAUUGGGAGAGGGAUGCGGAAUUCCAGGUGUAGCGGUGAAAUGCGUAGAUAUCUGGAGGAACACCGAUGGCGAAGGCAGAUCUCUGGGCCGUAACUGACGCUGAGGAGCGAAAGCAUGGGUAGCGAACAGG